UCAAGCGAAUAAGAGCGCAGGGUGGAUGCCUUGGCACUAAGAGCCGAAGAAAGACGUGAUAAGCUGCGAUAAGCUACGGUGAGGAGCAAAUAUCCAUUGACCCGUAGAUUUCUGAAUGGGGAAACCCGGCAGGAGAAACUCCUGUCACUGUAUGGUGAAUACAUAGCCAUAUAGAGGGAACCCGGUGAACUGAAACAUCUAAGUAGCCGGAGGAAGAGAAAACAACAGUGAUUUCCUAAGUAGCGGCGAGCGAACGGGAAAGAGCCCAAACCGGAUUGCGUGCAAUCCGGGGUUCGGACUGCAAACGUCAUUGUAAAAGGAUAACAGAAUGGUUUUGGGAAAGCCAGCCAGAGAGGGUGAAAGCCCCGUACGUGAAAUCUGAUUACAGGCAGCAGGAUCCAGAGUACCACGAGACACGUGGAACCUUGUGGGAACAAGCGGGGACCACCCCGUAAGGCUAAAUACUCCUUAGUGACCGAUAGCGCAUAGUACUGUGAAGGAAAGGUGAAAAGAACCCCGGGAGGGGAGUGAAAGAGAACCUGAAACCCUGUGAGUCAGCAGACAUAGACCCGAAACCGGGUGACCUACCCAUGUCCAGGUUGAAGCCGCUGUAAAAGGCGGUGGAGGACCGAACGCACAUCUGUUGAAAAAGGUGGCGAUGAGGUGUGGGUAGCGGAGAAAUUCCAAUCGAACUCGGAGAUAGCUGGUUCUCCCCGAAAUAGCUUUAGGGCUAGCCUUGAGUUAGACAUAUGGAGGUAGAGCACUGAAUGGCCGCGGGGGCGUCAAAGCUUACCAAAGCCUAUCAAACUCCGAAUGCCAUGUUGCCGAUGCUCAGGAGUCAGACUGCACGAGAUAAGUUGGGUAGUCGAGAGGGAAACAGCCCAGACCUACAGCUAAGGUCCCAAAGUACAUGUUAAGUGGAAAAGGAUGUGGGACUUCGAAGACAACUAGGAUGUUGGCUCAGAAGCAGCCAUACAUUCAAAGAGUGCGUAAUAGCUCACUAGUCGAGAGGUCCUGCGCCGAAAAUGUCCGGGGGGAACAGAAAUGUUGGUAGGGGAGCAUUGCUAGAGGAACGAAGCAGUACCGUAAGGAGCUGUGGACUUCUAGGAAGAGAGAAUGCCGGAAUGAGUAGCGAGAGUAAGGUGAGAAUCCUUACGGCCGAAUAUCUAAGGUUUCCAGAGUAAAGCUGAUCUGCUCUGGGUAAGUCGGGACCUAAGGCGAGGACGAAAGUCGUAGUCGAUGGAUAACAGGUGGAGAUUCCUGUACUCCGUAUAAACAGAACUGUGGGGACACGGGUGGAAAGCCUGACCCGGGAAUGGAAAGACCGGGACAAGCGAGGUACCAGAUAAGGAGGCAAAUCCCCUUAUCAAUGGGAAGACGUGAUGUGGAGCGAACCAAAGGGUAGCGAAGCAGGUGAGCCAGCCGUCGAGAAAAGCCGCUAUUGUUUUGUACGGACCCGUACCGUAAACCGACACAGGUGGAUGAGGAGAGAAUCCUAAGGCCGACGGGAGAAGCAUUGUUAAGGAACUCGGCAAAAUGACCCCGUAACUUCGGGAGAAGGGGUGCCUGAGGAAUCAGGCCGCAGAGAAUAGGUCCAAGCAACUGUUUAGCAAAAACACAGGUCUAUGCGAAACCGAAAGGUGAAGUAUAUGGGCUGACGCCUGCCCGGUGCUGGAAGGUUACGAGGAGUGCUUAGAGGCUUGCCUCGAAGGUGCGAAUUUAAGCCCCAGUAAACGGCGGCCGUAACUAUAACGGUCCUAAGGUAGCGAAAUUCCUUGUCGGGUAAGUUCCGACCCGCACGAAAGGCGUAAUG
rnacentral:rRNA from 1 species